CCUAUCUUAAGUAGCAAAGAUUGCUAACUUGCUUAUUUCAAGAAGCAAAAGUUGUCUUCUUGAACAUCACCAUCUUGAAUAUCUCAAGAAGCAAGACUUGCAACCUGCACAUUACAAUAGGAAGCAAUAAUCAUGAGCCUACACAAGAAAGUUAUCUUGCAUUUGCUUUCGAAGUUUUUGCUAACUUGUAUAUCGUAAAAAAAU
rnacentral:lncRNA from 1 species